GAGCGAGCGGCGGGUGUCCCUGAGAGGCCACCUUUCGACCUUCGAGGGCCAGGAGGAUACGGGGAGGUGGCCGGAGGGAGUUCCCGAACACAGGUCUUCCUGUUCCCGCCGAGCAGGUGUUGGCGGUGCCAGGCCCGGCCUGGCGGGCCCGGGCUGGCAGCCAAAUACCCAGCGUCUGUGCUCGGGACGGGAGUGUUCGUCCAGGACGUGCAGCUCCGGAGCCUGCGCGGGCGACCUUGACCACCUUUGUCGGCUGUUUCCCCCUGAGGGAAGUAUACCUGUCCUGCCAGCCUUGGUCUCUGGCAGGGAAGGUCCUUCCAACAGAGAGGGGUGCGCACGAAUUCCUUUUUGCCGCUCUUCUAUUAAUAGUUUGAGAUUUUCCUCCCCGAUUCCUUGCAGAGAGGGCCUGGUCCUCAAGGACCUCGGGAUCUGGGCGCGACGUCCCUUCCCAGCUUCCUCCCGCGCGCACCGGACCAGAUCUUGCUGUCGUCAGCUGGCUGGUACCCAAAGUUCCUCUUCGUCAGGCUGUUCCUUCCCCGUUAGAGUCCUUCCUCCCCAGGAGCCCUCUCCAUCUGCUGACCUUCAAGACCCAGAGCGAAUGCCACUUCAUCCAUGAAGCCUUCCCUUAACCCUUAUCUGGCCAAAAUGUCUCUUUCCUGUGCUUCUGUACUUUCACAAUUUUAGAAAAUGCCUUUGUGGUUAAAAACCUAUCUCCGGGACCGGACUAUCUAGGUUUAGAUUCUGGCUGCCGCUUACGAAUUUGGGCAGGUUUAGUCAAGUUAUUUUAACCUCUCUGUGGAAGUUCCUGCUCUGUGGAAAUAAUAGUAUUUUCCUCAGAGUUGGUGUGGGGAGUUUGUGAGUUAAUACAUUUACGAAGUGGUUAGUUGCAUGUAAGAAGGACUCUCUAAAUGUCAGCUAUUAUUAACAUUGCAUAUCUGCCACACCCUUCAUAGAUGGUAAACUGCUUUUUUUUUUUUUUUUACUUUUAUUUUAGGUUCGGGAUACAUGCACAGGUUUGUUUUAUAGAUAAAUUGCUUGUCAUGUGGGUUUGUUGUACAAAUUAUUUUGUCACCCAGAUAGUAAGCAUAGUACUUGACAGGUAUUUUUUCUGAUCCUCUCCCUCCUCCCACCCUCUAGCCUCAAGUAGGUCCCAGUGUCUGUUGUUCUCUUCUUUGUGUCCAUGUGUUCUCAAUGUUUAGCUCCCACUUACAAGUCAGAACAUGCAGUAUUUGGUUUUCUCUUCCGCAUUAGUUCACUUAGGAUAAAGGCCUCCAGCUCCAUCCAUGUUGCUACAAAGGACAUGAUCUCUUUCUUUUUUAUGGCUGCAUAGUAGUCCAUGGUGUAUAUGUACCGUAUUUUCUUCAGUCUACUGGUGAUGGGCAUUUAGGUUGAUGCCAUGUCUUUACGAUUGUGAAUAGUGCUGCAGUGAACAUACAUGUACAUAUAUCUUUAUGGUAGAAUGAUUUAUAUUCUUUUGGGUAUAGACCCAAUACUGGGAUUGUUGGGUCGAAUGGUAAUUCUGUUUUAAGUUCUUUGAGAAAUCGCCACACUGCUUUCCGCGGUUACUGAACUAAUUUACAUUCCCACCAGCAUUGUAUAAGCAUUCCCUUUUCUCCACAACCUCACCAGAAACCAGCAUCUGUUAUUUCUUGACUUUUAUUAAUAGCCAUUCUGACUGGUGUGAGAUGAUAUCUCAUUGUAGUUUUGAUUUGGGUUUCUCUAGUGAUUAGUGAUGUUGAGUAUUUUAUAUGCUUGUUGGCCAUGUAGCUUCUUUUGGCUAGGGACCUGUGAGUCUCCCUAGGUUUCUUGCACUUACUAAGCCUUCAACAAAUGGUAGAAGAGUCAAUUCUCUUGGUGUUUCAGAAGAAAACAAUAUCACAGCCCCUCUCCACUGGAUAAUACUAUAAAUCUUAAAAUGAAUUUUCAUUCAGAGUAAUAAACACAAGCCAAAGAACUUUGUAUAACAUCCGUCAACUUUUUGUGUUAUCUAUUUCUUUUCCAAAACAUUGCCUCUGGUUUUAAAGGUAACUGCCCACAGUGUUUCACUAAUAACAUUUUAAGCAUUACAAGUUCAACACUGAAGGUCAAAUGACAACGAACUUUCAGUGCUUCCAAAAGCAGGGGCAGAGGGCAACUGCUGAGGGGGGCAUUGUAUAGCCUAACCUUCCCAGAAUUUGAUUUAAAAGUAUGAUCUUCACAGCGUUGGCCAGCAAUAUCAUGGUCACUCCCUACGUCAUUCCCUGGGAGAAAAACAACCCUAGGUUACCUAAACAAUGUUGGCGAAGACCAAAUAUUUAUUAACAUCCUAAGCCGCCCCAUAAUCAAGCCAAUGCUGAUAGGGACAAAGAAGGUGCCAUGUGCAGUUUUUCUCCAUGUCCCCACAAUAUCUGCUCUGAAUUUUAAAAGGCAAUUACUGGGGGAGAAGGAAGCCUAUAUAUUAUGUAGGAUCCAAGUCUCAAACUGCUUUCCUAGGGAGUGUGAGGUUCUUGGAGAUUAAGUGCAGUACCUUUCUGUCUUGAGCCUUGUAGGCUGCCCCUCUAAUUUAAUGCCAGUCUUGAAAUAAACAGAAUGCUUUCCAAGUCAUCGCUAAUUUUAACACUUUAAAUUUAGAAUUGCUUAGAAUUGACUCAACACUGCCUCCUUGCUGAAUGGAUAAUUCAAGCAAACAACUCAAGAGCUGGAUGCUGCCCAGACAGAAGUCCUCCUAGCAUCUUUCUUCUGCCUUCCCCUGCUCCUGUCCCUGAAACCUUUUCUUCAAAAGAAGUGGAAAAGAGGAACUGGGAACCCAUAUAGCAACAGCAUCACCUGGAAUGAAUUCCUUUAGAACAUACUGUCUUGGAAAUCUGAAGCCUGCAGGGCUGGACAGGCAAGAAGAGCAGUGAGCACUGCAUGAACCUUUCUCUCCUUCCCUCCCUUACGUAUGACUCCUCCCAUAAUCCGCACACAUGGAUUGAACCAAGUGAGGGUAUUUUUCUGUUUCCUACCUCAUAGAAGGGCAUAGAGUGGACACGGUCUAAGGCAUGUACUCCGAAAUAUUUUUCAAAUGGAAAAGAAAACAGAGAACACAAUUUUCAAAAUAUCUAGAGCCCUCCAAGAAGUCUUUGUAGAGAUCUAUAAAAUCUCAAGGCAAUUUAAAGAGUCUUGCUGUGUCGCCCAAGCUGGAGUUCAGUGGCACCAUCCUGGCUCACUGCAACUGCUGCCUCCCAGGUUCAAGUGAUUCUCCUGCCUCAGCCUCCCGAGUAGCUGGGAUUACAUGUGCCUGCCACCACGCCUGGCAAGUUUUUGUAUUUUUAGUAGAAAUGGUGUUUUACCAUGUUGGCCAAGACUGGCCUAGAACUCCAGACCUCAAGUGAUCCACCCGCCUCAGCAGCCCAAAGUGGUGGGAUUACAGGCAUGAGCAACUGUGCCUGGCCUAGCCAUUUUCUAUAAACCUGAAAAUAGAUGCCAGAAAAGAAGGUGCCGCUAUAAAAUGCUUUCUUGAGUGAUUUAUGUCUAACAUACAAUUAAACAUUUAUGAGAAGGAAAUUAUCAGGUUAAAAUAUAAACUCACUUGCCAAUUAUUUGAUUUUCAGGAUAUCUGACUUUUGUUAAUUACUGAAAAUAAAGUAUUAUUUCUAAUCAC
rnacentral:lncRNA from 1 species